rnacentral:rRNA from 1 species
UACAGAGGGGGCAAGCGUUAUUCGGAAUUAUUGGGCGUAAAGGGCGCGUAGGCGGCUUGGCAAGUGGAAGGUGAAAUCCCUCGGCUUAACCGAGGAACUGCCCUCCAAACUGCUUCGCUUGAGACCGGGAGAGGUGAGUGGAAUUCCCAGUGUAGCGGUGAAAUGCGUAGAUAUUGGGAGGAACACCAGUGGCGAAGGCGGCUUACUGGACCGGUACUGACGCUGAUGCGCGAAAGCGUGGGGAGCAAACGGG